rnacentral:rRNA from 1 species
GUGGUUUAAUUCGAAGCAACGCGAAGAACCUUACCAGGCCUUGACAUGCAGAGAACUUUCCAGAGAUGGAUUGGUGCCUUCGGGAACUCUGACACAGGUGCUGCAUGGCUGUCGUCAGCUCGUGUCGUGAGAUGUUGGGUUAAGUCCCGUAACGAGCGCAACCCUUGUCCUUAGUUACCAGCACGUUAUGGUGGGCACUCUAAGGAGACUGCCGGUGACAAACCGGAGGAAGGUGGGGAUGACGUCAAGUCCUCAUGGCCUUUAUGACCAGGGCUACACACGUACUACAAUGGCCGAUACAAAGGGCAGCGACACUGCGAGGUGAAGCCAAUCCCGUAAAAUCGGUCUCAGUCCGGAUUGGAGUCUGCAACUCGACUCCAUGAAGUUGGAAUCGCUAGUAAUCGUGGAUCAGCAUGCCACGGUGAAUACGUUCCCGGGCCUU